rnacentral:tRNA from 1 species
GCGUCGGUGGUUCAGUGGGAGAAUGCUCGCCUGCCACGCGGGUGGCCCGGGUUCGAUUCCCGGCCGACGCA